CUGGGGUUUCACUUUGCCUGGAAGUUUCUUCGGUCCCUCCUUCUUGAGAGUUCCAUUCUUCCUCAGUAUUUUUUUCAGCCUUAGGUGUUCUUCGAGUCGUCCACAUCUCUGCAUCUCUGCAUCCUUCCGGCUAGCCUAGGUUAGUUCCAGAACUCCCCUCUUUGUUUUUUCUCUCGCUGUUCUUCUUCUAUUUUUCUUCUGUUACAUUCCACCUGUUCGAUUUUUCACGAACAUCCCGUUUCCUAUUUUUCCCAAAUUUUCCAGGUUUUUAGGAUUUUUGCUUGAUUCAAAAUAUCCUCCAGCACUUCCUCCUCUA
rnacentral:lncRNA from 1 species